AGAGGAUGAGAGGAGAGAGAAGAGACGAUGAGAGGAGAAAAGAUGAAAAAUUUAAUCAAAACACAGAGAUGGACAAACUGACAGCUCAUAGCACUGCUUCGUUUUGGUGUGUUCCAUGUGUGCAUGUCUAGGUAGCCUAGUGGUUAGAGGAGGCAGGUAGCCUAGUGGUUAGAGGAGGCAGGCAGGUAGCCUAGUGGUUAGAGGAGGCAGGUAGGUAGCCUAGUGGUUAGAGGAGGCAGGUAGCCUAGUGGUUAGAGGAGGCAGGCAGGUAGCCUAGUGGUUAGAGGAGGCAGGCAGGUAGCCUAGUGGUUAGAGGAGGCAGGCAGGUAGCCUAGUGGUUAGAGGAGGCAGGCAGGUAGCCUAGUGGUUAGAGGAGGCAGGCAGGUAGCCUAGUGGUUAGAGGAGGCAGGCAGGUAGC